rnacentral:tRNA from 1 species
GGGAGUAGCUCAAUUGGUAGAGCAUCAGCCUUCCAAGCUGAGGGUCGCGGGUUCGAGUCCCGUCUCCC